rnacentral:rRNA from 1 species
UACGUAGGGUGCAAGCGUUAAUCGGAAUUACUGGGCGUAAAGCGUGCGCAGGCGGUUUUGUAAGUCUGUCGUGAAAGCCCCGGGCUCAACCUGGGAAUUGCGAUGAAGACUGCAAGGCUUGAAUCUGGCAGAGGGGGGUAGAAUUCCACGUGUAGCAGUGAAAUGCGUAGAGAUGUGGAGGAACACCGAUGGCGAAGGCAGCCCCCCUGGGUCAAGAUUGACGCUCAUGCACGAAAGCGUGGGGAGCAAACAGG